rnacentral:rRNA from 1 species
AGUGAACGCUGGCGGUAGGCCUAACACAUGCAAGUCGAACGGCAGCACAGUAAGAGCUUGCUCUUACGGGUGGCGAGUGGCGGACGGGUGAGGAAUACAUCGGAAUCUACUUUUUCGUGGGGGAUAACGUAGGGAAACUUACGCUAAUACCGCAUACGACCUACGGGUGAAAGCAGGGGAUCUUCGGACCUUGCGCGAUUGAAUGAGCCGAUGUCGGAUUAGCUAGUUGGCGGGGUAAAGGCCCACCAAGGCGACGAUCCGUAGCUGGUCUGAGAGGAUGAUCAGCCACACUGGAACUGAGACACGGUCCAGACUCCCACGGGAGGCAGCAGUGGGGAAUAUUGGACCAUGGGCGCAAGCCUGAUCCAGCCAUACCGCGUGGGUGAAGAAGGCCUUCGGGUUGUAAAGCCCUUUUGUUGGGAAAGAAAAGCAGCAGGUUAAUACCCCGCUGUUCUGACGGUACCCAAAGAAUAAGCACCGGCUAACUUCGUG